UGCAGGUCAUGCAGACAAAGCAGUCGACAUGGAAGACCUGGUCCAUGGCAGUACAGCCGGUGCCUUCACCCACUACGUUCUCUCCACAGCUGGCACAGCGCCCUGGGGAGAGGAAGAGGAGGUCCUCUGAAUGAGGCCUGCUAGUUGUACCUCGUUCACGACUGAGAACACGAGGGGACUGUGUGUUCGCUGUCCUGGGUCCCUGGCUGUGGAACAGCCUCCCCCGGGGAGUCAGGUCCCAGAGGUGUCUCCCAUCAUGCCAAGCAUUUUUCGUUGAAGAUGAUGAGCUGCAAUGGAGAUACGGAGGAUAUAAAGUAAAAUAAUAAUUAUUGUAAUGUGUGAUCAGCCAAAGUUCAGUCUGUUGAACAUUGUGUGGAAUGUUUAAGGAUUCAUGAUUAAAAAUGCGAUGUAUAAAAUGGUAAAAUAAACUAGGGCUGCAACAAAUGAUUAUUUUUAUUAUCGGUUAUGCGCCUAUUAUUUUCUUGAUUUUAUAGAUUAAUCUAUAAAAUAUAAGAAAA